rnacentral:rRNA from 1 species
AUUGAACGCUGGCGGCAUGCUUUACACAUGCAAGUCGAACGGUAACAGGCCGCAAGGUGCUGACGAGUGGCGAACGGGUGAGUAAUGCAUCGGAACGUGCCCAGUCGUGGGGGAUAACGCAGCGAAAGCUGCGCUAAUACCGCAUACGAUCUCUGGAUGAAAGCGGGGGACCGAAAGGCCUCGCGCGAUUGGAGCGGCCGAUGUCAGAUUAGGUAGUUGGUGGGGUAAAGGCUCACCAAGCCAACGAUCUGUAGCUGGUCUGAGAGGACGACCAGACACACUGGGACUGAGACACGGCCAAGACUCCUACGGGAGGCAGCAGUGGGGAAUUUUGUACAAUGGGCGCAAGCCUGAUCCAGCAAUGCCGCGUGCAGGAAGAAGGCCUUCGGGUUGUAAACUGCUUUUGUACGGAACGAAACGGUCCGGGCUAAUACCCUGGGCUAAUGACGGUACCGUAAGAAUAAGCACCGGCUAACUACGUGCCAGCCGCCGCCGUAACAC